GACCUCGUAGCUCAGCUGGUAGAGCAAGCGCGUACAAAGCCUAGGCGUCUUUGCGUGGGUUCGAAUCCCACCGAGGCUA
rnacentral:tRNA from 1 species